UACAGGCUUAACACAUGCAAGUCGAGGGGCAUCAGGAAGAAAGCUUGCUUUCUUUGCUGGCGACCGGCGCACGGGUGAGUAACACGUAUCCAACCUGCCCUUUACUCGGGGAUAGCCUUUCGAAAGAAAGAUUAAUACCCGAUGGCAUAAUGAUUCCGCAUGGUUUCAUUAUUAAAGGAUUCCGGUAAAGGAUGGGGAUGCGUUCCAUUAGGUUGUUGGUGAGGUAACGGCUCACCAAGCCUUCGAUGGAUAGGGGUUCUGAGAGGAAGGUCCCCCACAUUGGAACUGAGACACGGUCCAAACUCCUACGGGAGGCAGCAGUGAGGAAUAUUGGUCAAUGGGCGCUAGCCUGAACCAGCCAAGUAGCGUGAAGGAUGAAGGCUCUAUGGGUCGUAAACUUCUUUUAUAUAAGAAUAAAGUGCAGUAUGUAUACUGUUUUGUAUGUAUUAUAUGAAUAAGGAUCGGCUAACUCCGUGCCAGCAGCCGCGGUAAUACGGAGGAUCCGAGCGUUAUCCGGAUUUAUUGGGUUUAAAGGGAGCGUAGGUGGACUGGUAAGUCAGUUGUGAAAGUUUGCGGCUCAACCGUAAAAUUGCAGUUGAUACUGUCAGUCUUGAGUACAGUAGAGGUGGGCGGAAUUCGUGGUGUAGCGGUGAAAUGCUUAGAUAUCACGAAGAACUCCGAUUGCGAAGGCAGCUCACUGGACUGCAACUGACACUGAUGCUCGAAAGUGUGGGUAUCAAACAGGAUUAGAUACCCUGGUAGUCCACACAGUAAACGAUGAAUACUCGCUGUUUGCGAUAUACAGUAAGCGGCCAAGCGAAAGCAUUAAGUAUUCCACCUGGGGAGUACGCCGGCAACGGUGAAACUCAAAGGAAUUGACGGGGGCCCGCACAAGCGGAGGAACAUGUGGUUUAAUUCGAUGAUACGCGAGGAACCUUACCCGGGCUUAAAUUGCAGUGGAAUGAUGUGGAAACAUGUCAGUGAGCAAUCACCGCUGUGAAGGUGCUGCAUGGUUGUCGUCAGCUCGUGCCGUGAGGUGUCGGCUUAAGUGCCAUAACGAGCGCAACCCUUAUCUUUAGUUACUAACAGGUUAUGCUGAGGACUCUAGAGAGACUGCCGUCGUAAGAUGUGAGGAAGGUGGGGAUGACGUCAAAUCAGCACGGCCCUUACGUCCGGGGCUACACACGUGUUACAAUGGGGGGGUACAGAAGGCAGCUAGCGGGUGACCGUAUGCUAAUCCCAAAAUCCUCUCUCAGUUCGGAUCGAAGUCUGCAACCCGACUUCGUGAAGCUGGAUUCGCUAGUAAUCGCGCAUCAGCCACGGCGCGGUGAAUACGUUCCCGGGCCUUGUACACACCGCCCGUCAAGCCAUGGGAGCCGGGGGUACCUGAAGUACGUAACCGCAAGGAUCGUCCUAGGGUAAAACUGGUGACUGGGGCUAAGUC
rnacentral:rRNA from 1 species